UGUAUAAUUAAAUCUAAUUAUUGCCAGACACACGAGGUUUAUAUAUAUAAAGAGUUAUUUUAACUAGAUGAAAGUAAAGAGUUACUGAAGUUGCAAAUGUAUACAGUACAAGUAAAAAGAUCUCAUAUAUAGUAUUUUUAUAGAUUAAAUUUCGAAAUGAGAAAUUAAACAGUUAUAUGAUGUUGAAAAUACGGCGUGAGAAGGGCUGCAUGAAGAUUCUAUCCGGGACUGAGCUCACGACGUGAGCAAUAAGAGCUCACGACGUGAGGAUCAUUGCAACCCAAGCUCAUAAAGUUUUAGGGUUUCCCAUGUAUUUAAGCCCCCUUAAUUCGGUUUUAGGGUUCAUUUAUCAGCCUCCACCUUCCUCUAACUCAGAAAACCCUAACCCUAAUCCAUUUUGGUGAUUUUGGACCCAUUUUAGUGAAUUGGUGGCUAGAAAAAAGAGAAGAAGAGAUGCUAGAGUGUUGGUUCAGCAAGGAGGCUUCAUUAUCAUUAUCUUGUGCACAUUUUUGACCAAUAUAAGUGUCCAAGAUCCAAUCUUUAUGAGCUCAAAUUUCUAGAUCUAAGUUCUAAGCUUCUUUUUACAUGUUUAUGUUGGAUUGCAUGCUUGGGAUCCAUAAAGUUGGCAACUUAAUGGAUCAAUGAGUCAUUCUCUAUGAUUUAGUCUUUUGAAUCCGAAGUGUUGUUAUAAUUUAUGAAUCUUGCAUGAGUUUGGGGCCAUUUCUUGUCAUUUUGACCUAAGAUGGGUUUAAGACAUCCAUAGGGAAUGCAUGUCCAUCAAGUAAUCGUUUUUAUUGGCCUUUGGAGUCCUUGUUUGCUUCAGAAAGAAUUAGGAUUGAAGGAUUAAUGGAUUAAUGACUUAAAAGUUUUCUUUUUAGCUUCAUACUGUUCUCACGACGUGAGACACAAGGUCUUACUACAUGAGAAACGUUUAUGUCCCGAUUCUAAAGAGCUGGUUGGGGCUAACGAUGUGAGGAUAGGCUGCUCACGUUGUGAGGCCAGCUCAGGUGGCAUUUCUUGACUGAGUUGGCUGGGCUGAGUUGGGGUGAGUGGGAUCUGAUCAAGUAAACUAUCACGACAUGACCAAGGACUAGUCAUGACGUGAGAUGUGAUUUUGGGACUUGUUAUGCGCUAGUUUUCUGUCUGUGGGCCUUCUUGUGUUUGGGCCCAUUGGGAGCUCGGUCUAUCUUUUAGGGAAUCGAGUCUCCUUGGAUUAGGCCCAUGAAGGUGUUUAGGCCCAAUUAGGAAGUUGGACCACUUGGGCUUUUUGAUGCUGUUGGUUUGGGCCUCGGAUGUUGGACUAAGUGAGAAAAGGGUGAAAUAGACUUUUACCCUAAGUGUUGGACAAUCGAAUGUGGAUCCCAGCAAUGGGAUGUGGACCAAUUUUUAAUCUAGUAUUAUUUGAUGAUGUUAGCGUGAGGAUUUUUCCGGAUUGGCAGUCCGAGCUUUUAUCUGAGGUAUUCGGCAGCUUGAGGUGAGUUUCCUCAAAGUGUUGAUGCGUCGAAGGCACCAAUGUCGGCCCAUGGUUUAUUAUGGUUAGAAUACUGGUUGUCUGCAUGACUUUGCAUGUUUGGUAUCUGAUAUGUAUACCGGGCGGGGCCUGAUGAGUAUAUUGUAUGAUAGUUAUCUGUAUUUGUUUUAUGUUACAGAGUAUGACUCGAUGUCGGGUGGGGCCCGAUCUCUAUCCUCUUUGCUAUUUAUCUAUGUGAUUAUAGCAUGUUUCAUAUGUUUAUAUGUAUAUUGGGCGGAUCCCGAUGACUAAUAGAUCUGUAUACCGGGCGGGGCCCAUUAUUUGUUUAAUAUGUAUGGUAUGAGGUAUUUUGGGAAACUCAUUAAGCUUUGUGCUUACAUUUUAUGUUUAUGGUUUUAGAUACUUUCGGUUUGAAAAUGAAGGGCCGACGUGAUCGCAGCGCAUCUACCUAUGUUUUUCCGCAACUUAUUGGUCUUUGGUAUUAUACUCUGAUAACUGUUUUUACAUUAUUACACUUUUGAAUGAUUAGUUCUACUAAAUGGUUUUAUGGUUAUAUUAAAAAUACAAAUUUUACCUUGAAAUUUUGGGCAUUACAACAAACCUAAAAAUCACAGCUUUUUAUACCAAUUCGCUAAAAAAUUUGAAAACAAAUAUUUAAAAACUAUUAUUAUGUUUAAUUUUUUCAACGAUUUUGAAUAAAAAGUUUCUGUUUUUAGGUUUGUAAAGUAAAAAAAAUAGAUAUCUCAACAUAUUUUUUUAUAUAUUUCUAGGGCUUUUAGGGUUUUUUUUUUCGGUUUAUGGUUUUUGUGUUGAUGUUGUUUCUCUCUCUCUCUCUCUCUCUAUAUAUAUAUAACAAAUAAAAAUAUGUUGAUUUCCAUAUAUAACAAAUAAUAAAAAAUAAGUAUAAAUACUACACCUUUUAAUAAUGUGAAAACACUAAAACAUCUAUUAUGAUACUUGUAUUAAAAAAUAAUUUGAAACUCAUAAAUCAUACAAAAAAUAUAUAAAUGUUUAAUUGAUUGAGAAAAAUCAUUAAAUUCUCACUUUUUUCCUAACAAUUGAGGCUCUCAUUUCAAACAAUAUUAUCGUAAUCUCUAUUCUAAUAAAAGAAUAGUUUUAUUCUCCUUUUGACAUGUGUCAUCAUAUUAGGCCUCAUAAUUAAUGCAUAUUUUAUUUUUCGAUUGUCAUGUGUCACUCUAUUAUAUCUCCUAAUUAAUGCAUGCCACUUUCUUACCUAUUGAAUCUCCAUUUCAAAUUUCAAAUUUUAAAUUUCUCACUCUAAUUACAUUAAAUUAAUAACAUUAGAAUAGAAAUUAAAGUAAAAUUAUCACAAAUUAUAAAGUGAUAGAAUUUUACAUAUUUAUUUAAAGCAAUGAUUAUAAUUUUAUAUAACUAAAAAAUCUCUUAAUUAAUAAUUUAUUUAAAAUAACUGAUUAAUAAUUUUGAAUUUUUAGUAUUAAAGUUUAAUUAAGUUUGUAACUGUGGUUCCCACGGGUUAUAAACUAGUAAAUAAAUAAAUUCAAUUGUACAAUUCUUUGACGCAAUGAAAUUUAUUUCUUUAUAUCUUUUUAUUUGAAUCAAUAACCCUUGAACAUGUGUAUGGUUUUGUGAAAAAAUAUUAGUUAUAUAUACUAAUAAUAUUGGUNNNNNNNNNNNNNNNNNNNNNNNNNNNNNNNNNNNNNNNNNNAUUAUUGUGUGUGUGUGUGUGUGUGUAUAUAUAUAUAUAUAUAUAUAUAUAUAUAUUGGUUGAUUAAUGUGUUUCUUACAUUUAUUGUGUGCUAGAAUGCACCAAUAUAAAUUUAGUAAAUUAAAUAAUUAUGUUAUCAAAUAAAUAUAGAUAUUAAACGAUUUCCAUAACUGUAUGUGUAUUAAAUGAUAUCAUAAUUAUAAUUCUUUUUUUUUUUAUGUAAAAUAAUUAAAUUCGUCGUUAAUGUCAACAAUAACAUUCUAAACUUUCAGAAUGCAUUCACAUAUAGGUUUUUAUGUAUGAGUUUGUGUUUUGUUUUGGGACUCACUCACUUAAAAUACAAUAAAGUUGCAUAUAAUAUGAAGAACGAGAGUGUAUUCUACUAGAAUACACACUUAUAUAUAUANNNNNNNNNNNNNNNNNNNNNNNNNNNNNNNNNNNNNNNNNNNNNNNNNNNNNNNNNNNGUACGCUGAUACGAUCACACCAAAAAAAAAAAGACGUUUUAAGCACAUUAGUUUAGAUGAUACGAAUUAUAAUAUAUUAUUCAACUAGAUGUAAGACCAAUGUAUUACAUGGGUUAAUUAAAAAUUAAAUAUCAAAAUAUAAACAUUAAAUAUUUUAUAAAAUUAAUAUUUAAAAUAAAAAAGGAAAAAACAUAUUUAUUGCAAUUUAAGAUCAUAUUUAUUACAUUUAACAUUUUACUUAUAUAACUAUAUGUAUUAUGUGGCUUUUUAAUUUAAAAAAUUAAAUAUACCUAGAAAUUGACAUGUGAAUAUUAUUUGUUUCAAAAAUACCACAAAAUGGCAAGUGUCAAAACUUAUGAUAGAUUGAUAUACGGCAAAAUGAAUGUUCAUUUAUUAAAGUAGACUUGUAAUAUAAACAUAUUCCAAUGAACAAGUUGAAAAUAAAACCAUAAAAAUUAAGUAGAAAAGAAAAGUUAUCUAAAAAACGUUUAUAAUUUACAAACAUUAUAAACAUAAGUGAACUUAUCUAAUGGAAUUUGUGGACUUACGAUACUAUAAUAAAGAUACUUAAUUAUAACUAGUAAAAAACCCGCGACUACGCCGCUUUUAGGGUAAUAUGGGAAAAAUUGGCAAAGUUUAAAAGAUAUGUGUUGAAAUUGUAAAUCACCACUAAUAGGGGAGUAAGUUGACACCCCUAAAUUUUGUACUACAAAAAAAAGGGACACUGGUGGAGAAAAUCCAAAAAUGUUGUGACAAUAGUGUUAAAGUUGAUAAAUUAAACCAAGCCAUGUGAUGUAGAAGCUCCAUAUUCUGAAAUGAGUUUACAAUAAGUAUUAAGAAUUGAAACAUAAAUAAUGACCGGAACAAGUUAUGUAGAUCUAAAGAUGUAUUGGACCUGUGGGGGAAUCAUAAAUGGCAGGGGUAACUGUUGAGAGUAGAGAUAAAAUUAUGAAUUUAGAGCUUGUGGGUUGGAUUGAACCUGUGUAAAUUUUAGGUUUCAUGUAUCAAUUUUUUAUGUUCUUGAGCCACCUUCGAUCUAUCUUGAAAGAAAAAAUGAACAGAGAUGAAGUGGUCUUGGGUGAAAAGAAAUUGUAGAAAGGUAUACAAUGUGUGUGGGAGAGAGAGAAAGAGAGAGAGAGAGAGAGAGAGAGAGAGACCCUUAGUAUUUUCAUUUUUUUUUAAAUAAGUGAAAACAUCAUAAAUGGUCUCUAUGGUAGUGAAAUGAUGAAAAUGCCCUUCAGUUAGCGGACAAAACUUAACGGAGUUAGCAAUAAGGAUCAAUCGUCAAAAGUUUUGAAAGCACAAGGACCAUCUAUGAUGUUUUUAAACCACGGGGAUUAAACUUCAUAUUUUGGGAAACCAGAGGGACCAUUUAUGAUGUUUUUUCUCAAAAUAACCACAAAAUGACAUUUCGCAAAUUGAAUGAGAGUGUGACAAGUGGCAAAAAAACCUUUGUCUAUUAAAGAGGAUUAUUUUUCAUAAUUUAUAUGUUUUAUGUUUUACUUGUGUUUUUUUUUUUAGAUUUCUCAGUUUUGUAUAUUUGUUUUUAUGUUUUCUAUGGUUUCUUUUCGUUUUUUUAGAAUAUUUUCUUCUUACAAGUUUGUUUUACAACUUUUUUUCAAUAUUCGUCUAAUGCAUGCAACUUUGUAAAUAGUUGUUCCUUUCUAUAUAAUCGUUUCCAAAAAAAAAAUAAACAAAUAAAUAAAUAAAGCGUUAUGUUGUAUAAUUAAAUCUAAUUAUUGCCAGACACACGAGGUUUAUAUAAAUAAAGAGUUAUUUUAACUAGAUGAAAGUAAAGAGUUACUGAAGUUGCAAAUGUAUACAGUACAAGUAAAAAUAUCUCAUAUAUAGUAUUUUUAUAGAUUAAAUUUCGAAAUGAGAAAUUAAACAGUUAUAUGAUGUUGAAAAUACGGUGUGAGAAGGGCUGCAUGAAGAUUCUAUCCGGGACUGAGCUUACGACGUGAGCAAUAAGAGCUCACGACGUGAGGAUCAUUGCAACCCAAGCUCAUAAAGUUUUAGGGUUUCCCACGUAUUUAAGCCCCCUUAAUUCGGUUUUAGGGUUCAUUUAUCUGCCUCCACCUUCCUCUAACUCAGAAAACCCUAACCCUAAUCCAUUUUGGUGAUUUUGGACCCAUUUUAGUGAAUUGGUGGCUAUAAGAAGGAGAAGAAGAGGUGCUAGAGUGUUGGUUCAGCAAGGAGGCUUCAUUAUCAUUAUCUUGUGCACAUUUUUGACCAUUGUAAGUGUCCAAGAUCCAAUCUUUAUGAGCUCAAAGUUCUAGAUCUAAGUUCUAAGCUUCUUUUACAUGUUUAUGUUGGAUUGCAUGCUUGGGAUCCAUAAAGUUGGCAACUUUAUGGAUCAAUGAGUCAUUCUUUAUGAUUUAGUCUUUUGAAUCCGAAGUGUUGUUAUAAUUUAUGAAUCUUGCAUGAGUUUGGGGCCAUUUCUUGUCAUUUUGACCUAAGAUGAGUGUAAGACAUCCAUAGGGCAUGCAUGUCCAUCAAGUAAUCGUUUUUAUUGGCCUUUGGAGUCCUUGUUUGCUUCAGAAAGAAUUCGGAUUGAAGGAUUAAUGGAUUAAUGACUUAAAAGUUGGAUUUUUAGCUUCAGACUGUUCUCACAACGUGAGACACAAGGUCUUACUACAUGAGAAACGUUUAUGUCCCGAUUCUAAAGAGCUGGUUGGGGCUCACGAUGUGAGGAUAGGUUGCUCACGUUGUGAGGCCAGCUCAGGUGGCAUUUCUUGCCUGAGUUGGCUGGGCUAAGUUGGGAUGAGUGGGAUCUUAUCAAGUAAACUAUCACGACAUGACCAAGGACUAGUCAUGACGUGAGAUGUGAUUUUAGGACUUGUUAUGCCUUAGUUUUCUGUCUGUGGGCCUUCUUGUGUUUGGGCCCAUUGGGAGCUCGGUCUAUCUUUUAGGGAAUC
rnacentral:lncRNA from 1 species